CCUACGGGAGGCAGCAGUGGGGAAUAUUGCACAAUGGGGGAAACCCUGAUGCAGCGACGCCGCGUGAGUGAAGAAGGAUCUCGGUAUGUAAAGCUCUAUCAGCAGGGAAGAAGAAAGACGGUACCUGACUAAGAAGCCCCGGCUAACUACGUGCCAGCAGCCGCGGUAAUACGUAGGGGGCAAGCGUUAUCCGGAUUUACUGGGUGUAAAGGGAGCGUAGACGGCUGGGCAAGUCUGAAGUGAAAGCCCAGGGCUCAACCCUGGGACUGCUUUUGAAACUGUGGAGCUGGAGUGCUGGAGAGGUAGGUGGAAUUCCUGGUGUAGCGGUGAAAUGCGUAGAUAUUAGGAGGAACACCAGUGGCGAAGGCGGCUUACUGGACAGUAACUGACGUUGAGGCUCGAAAGCGUGGGGAGCAAACAGGAUUAGAUACCCUUGUAGUC
rnacentral:rRNA from 1 species